rnacentral:lncRNA from 1 species
GCAGCACGGGAGAGUGCAAUGAACCCUAUCGCAGCAACAGGAGGAAGAGGGAACAGGGGACGUAACUCAUCUGUACUUAUGGACUGGAAGUUACGGGAGGAAAGACGUGAAAAAGUAUGAUGUGAGAGGACGGGUGACGUGGAGCAGCAUUAAGUGGUGCUUGGAGAGAGGGAUCAUUUCAGUAUCAUUUCCACUUAAGAGUUUAGUAAUAGAGCGGGUGGCGGGCCUCUGGGACCACCUGGGCCUGGUGCUGUGGCCGUGCUAUGGUGACGGAGAGCCCCUUUUGGCAAAGCACAGUCGGAGGAGCACCCCUGGAGAACUUGUUCAGGUGCAUCAGUACCCCCAGCAGCCGCCAGGCCCGCCCCAGGCCCUGCUCCCGGCGGGCGGGCGGGCGGCUGUGAGGCUGCACAGUGGAGCUGCCCUCGGACCGCGCUGCCCCCGGACCUGCACCCCUGGGACAUUUUGGAACAUGUGAGGAGCUGCCAGAGGAAUCACUAAUAUUUUCAUUUCUGCUUCUUCAGCUCCACCUAUUUUUUUCUGUCCUGGAGUUUCAGCUGUAUUUAAUAAGGUCUGGAUGAAGAUGGAGACUGGAAGAGUCAAGAGAUGAAAUGGGGACAAGUGCUUGACCACUGGAGGCUGGUGGCACAGGAUGUGGGAAUGCACCAUGGAGAGAGCAGUGGCUUCCCUGCUCAGUUCCAACUGCAGAAGACAUUGUGAGGACAGACCAUCAAAAGUAAGUGUGACGCUCGCUGGUGCUGGACGCAGCCUGCUGUGGGACAGGCAAUAUCACGCAGCCAAGAUGGUGGCAUUUAAUUGGAAGGUGAGGAUGUUUCACAUUCAUAAAGCAGUGAAUUUCUGCUCUUUCAAGCAAAUGCAUGUAAGGUCUGGGUGGGGUGGGUCCUGUGUUUAUAAAGAUGGCUUUGUUGCCUAG